AUUGAACGCUGGCGGCAUGCCUUACACAUGCAAGUCGAACGGCAGCACGGGAGCAAUCCUGGUGGCGAGUGGCGAACGGGUGAGUAAAGUAUCGGAACGUGCCCGGUCGUGGGGGAUAACGUAGCGAAAGUUACGCUAAUACCGCAUACGAUCUAUGGAUGAAAGCGGGGGAUCGCAAGACCUCGCGCGAUUGGAGCGGCCGAUAUCAGAUUAGGUAGUUGGUGGGGUGAAGGCUCACCAAGCCGACGAUCUGUAGCUGGUCUGAGAGGACGACCAGCCACCCUGGGACUGAGACACGGCCCAGACUCCUACGGGAGGCAGCAGUGGGGAAUUUUGGACAAUGGGCGAAAGCCUGAUCCAGCCAUGCCGCGUGCAGGAUGAAGGCCUUCGGGUUGUAAACUGCUUUUGUACGGAACGAAAAGGUUUGGCCUAAUAAGCUGAGCUCAUGACGGUACCGUAAGAAUAAGCACCGGCUAACUACGUGCCAGCCGCCGCAGUAA
rnacentral:rRNA from 1 species